rnacentral:rRNA from 1 species
AACGAACGCUGGCGGCAUGCCUAACACAUGCAAGUCGAACGAGACCUUCGGGUCUAGUGGCGCACGGGUGCGUAACGCGUGGGAACCUGCCCUUAGGUUCGGAAUAACUCCCCGAAAGGGGUGCUAAUACAGGUUAAUGUAUUCGGGCCAAAGAUUUUUGGCCUUUGGAUGGGGCCGCGUUGGAUUAGCUGGUUGGUAGGGUAAAAGCCUACCAAGGGGACGUUGCAUAGCUGGGCUGAGAGGAUGAUCAGCAACACUGGGACUGAGACACGGCCUACACUCGUACGGGAGGGUGGAGUGGGGAAUAUUGGGCGAUGGGCGAAAGCCUGACCCAGCAGUGCCGCGUGAGUGAUGAAGGCCUUAGGGUUGUAAAUCUCUUUUACCCGGGAUGAUAAUGACAGUACCGGGAGAAUAAGCUCCGGCUAACUACGUG